GCCCUGAUAGUUUAAUUUAAAACCUUGGUCUUGUAAACCAAUAAUGAAAUUUUCUUUCUCAGGGCU
rnacentral:tRNA from 1 species